UAAAGCUUGAUUGUUCGACUCAUAGUCAUCCUUGCACCAAGCCUAGAAAAACCAACAUCAAUCAGCUUCUUUGGAUUCAAAGAUCUAUGCCAAUAUUGGCAAGUGGAUAUUGGUGUUGGAAGAACCACUCCAGCAGUAUAAGCUGCUUGCCAGAUGUUCUCCAAGUGAACUCUCCUUGUCACCUCCUUGAUCAUGACAGGAGCAAGUCUUUUUGAUCUUAGCUUCUUAUGAACACACAAGAAAUUUAUUUC
rnacentral:misc_RNA from 1 species